rnacentral:rRNA from 1 species
UUGGAGGGCAAGUCUGGUGCCAGCAGCCGCGGUAAUUCCAGCUCCAAUAGCGUAUAUUAAAGUUGCUGCAGUUAAAAAGCUCGUAGUCGAAUUUCGGGACCAAUAUGUCGGUCGUGCCUCGGUACGUACUGGCAUCGUUGGUUUCUCCCUUCUGAAGAACCAUGAUGUCAUUCAUUUGGUGUCGUGGGGAAUCAGGACUGUUACUUUGAAAAAAUUAGAGUGUUUAAAGCAAGCUAACGCUUGAAUACAUUAGCAUGGAAUAAUGAAAUAGGACGUUCGAUCCUAUUUUGUUGGCUUCUAGGAUUGACGUAAUGAUUAAUAGGGAUAGUUGGGGGCAUUAGUAUUCAAUUGUCAGAGGUGAAAUUCUUGGAUUUAUUGAAGACUAACUACUGCGAAAGCAUUUGCCAAGGAUGUUUUCAUUAAUCAAGAACGAAAGUUAGGGGAUCGAAGACGAUCAGAUACCGUCGUAGUCUUAACCAUAAACUAUGCCGACUAGGGAUCGGAUGAUGUUAAUUUUUUAAUGACUCAUUCGGCGCCUUACGGGAAACCAAAGUGUUUGGGUUC